GUCACUUUGCCGGAGUGGUUAACGGGAUCGCCUGCUAUUAUUCAGCGAAGCGGUUGGGCUUUGCCCGCGUGUGUUCGAAUCGCACAGGUGACG
rnacentral:tRNA from 1 species